UACGUAGGUGACAAGCGUUGUCCGGAUUUACUGGGCGUAAAGGGUGCGUAGGCGGCGCGGUAAGUCGGGUGUGAAAUUUCGAGGCUUAACUUCGAAACUGCAUUCGAUACUGCCGUGCUUGAGGACUGGAGAGGAGACUGGAAUUUACGGUGUAGCGGUGAAAUGCGUAGAUAUCGUAAGGAAGACCAGUGGCGAAGGCGGGUCUCUGGACAGUUCCUGACGCUGAGGCACGAAGGCCAGGGGAGCAAACGGG
rnacentral:rRNA from 1 species